GACGAAGGGGGCUAGCGUUGUUCGGAAUCACUGGGCGUAAAGGGCGCGUAGGUGGUGGCUUAAGCGUGCGGUGAAAGCUCGGAGCUCAACUCCGAGUCGGCCGUGCGAACUGGGCUCACUGGAGCAUAGUAGAGGCAGGUGGAAUUCCGGGUGUAGCGGUGGAAUGCGUAGAGAUCCGGAAGAACACCGGUGGCGAAGGCGGCCUGCUGGGCUAUGGCUGACACUGAGGCGCGACAGCGUGGGGAGCAAACAGG
rnacentral:rRNA from 1 species